rnacentral:rRNA from 1 species
CCGCGGGCCGCUGGCUUCUUAGGGGGACUAUCGGCUCAAGCCGAUGGAAGUGCGCGGCAAUAACAGGUCUGUGAUGNCCUUAGAUGUUCUGGGCNGCACGCGCGCUACACUGACAGGGCCAGCGAGUACAUCACCUUGGCCGAGAGGCCCGGGUAAUCUUGUUAAAGCCUGUCGUGCUGGGGAUAGAGCAUUGCAAUUAUUGCUCUUCAACGAGGAAUGCCUAGUAGGCACGAGUCAUCAGCUCGUGCCGAUUACGUCCCUGCCCUUUGUACACACCGCCCGUCGCUACUACCGAUUGAAUGGCUCG